rnacentral:rRNA from 1 species
CUACGGGUGGCACCAGUGGGGAAUCUUAGACAAUGGGCGCAAGCCUGAUCUAGCCAUGCCGCGUGAGUGAUGAAGGCCUUAGGGUCGUAAAGCUCUUUCGCCAGGGAUGAUAAUGACAGUACCUGGUAAAGAAGCCCCGGCUAACUCCGUGCCAGCAGCCGCGGUAAUACGGAGGGGGUUAGCGUUGUUCGGAAUUACUGGGCGUAAAGCGCACGUAGGCGGGCUGUUAAGUCGGGGGUGAAAUCCCGGGGCUCAACCCCGGAACUGCCUUCGAUACUGGCAGCCUGGAGUUCGAGAGAGGGGAGUGGAAGUCCGAGUGUAGAGGGGAAAUUCGUAGAUAUUCGGAGGAACACCAGUGGCGAAGGCGGCUCACUGGCUCGAUACUGACGCUGAGGUGCGAAAGCGUGGGGAGCAAACAGGAUUAGAUACCCCCGUAGUC